GGUAUAAUAUUUAUAAGAGUUGAAAAUAAUACUUCUUUAUAGCAAUAAGAGAGUUGAUAAAUACCUUGAAAUAAUGCAUUGUAAGGCAUGUUUUAACACUUGGAAUGAAAUUUUAAAAAUUUUACCUUUUGAUAGUUGUUUAUAUUGUAAAUCCUUUUGAAUAUCCAUAGCAGACAUUUAGAGAUUAAUAACACUUAAAAAUAAAAAUUAUAGAAAAAAAAAAUAGCUUAGAAAAGGAAAAAUUGUUAAGUUAAAUGCGGAUAGGUUUGAUAAGUUUGGCAAUGAUAGAAUGUCAGAGUGACAAUCAAAUUGUCUAUGACAUCAAAAGUUGACUGGGGUUACAAAAAAUAGUUCUGCUAUGACAAGCAGGUCACAAUUAGUUCCUUAAGUUGAAUCGCUGAUAAUUAUGCGAUCAAAAAGUUGUGAGGCCAUUUUUAGAAACCAUCAAUGGCUGCAUAUUGUAGCCAUUAUUCACUUUUCAUAGAGUGUAUUUUCAUCAUGACAAAGAUUUUGUAAUUUUUUUCAUAUUUUUUUUGUACAAAAUAAUUAAACCAAACCAUGAAAGGACACUGGAACAUUGAACAGAUAGGCUUUGUUUGAUAUGUAUUGCUAUAGUUCUAAUUACAUUGUUUAUGAGUAAAGUAUGAGCUGAUGAUUUGUCCACUUUAUAAGUCCAUCUGUCUGUCCAUCUGUCACUCAAUCUUUGUGUUCAUCUAUGUUAUGUGGGUUUUUUUUUUAUCUAUUUUUAAAGAAAUUUGCAUUGUUCUAGUAAUUAACCAAAAACAGUGCAAGUUAUUGAUAUUUGUAGAAAAGUUGAGUUCUGUUGGUUUUGUAAUAAGACUUAAAUUGCUGACUGUUAUGACUUUUUAAAAAAUGAAUUAUGUUUUCAAUAGCCCCAUGCAGUAUAUAUAAUCUGCAGCUACAUAUAGACAUUUAAACUAUGCAUAAGAUUUGGAGUAUCUGUAUAGGUACAUAUAUAUAUAUGAAAUAAUUCUCUCAUAUUUUUGGGAUGAUUGCUGAAUUUUGUGUCUAUUUGUUUUGGAACAAAACCAUUUACAAGCAAAAUAAAAUGAAAAUGUG
rnacentral:misc_RNA from 1 species